rnacentral:tRNA from 1 species
CAGUUGGUUAGAGCGUUGGUCUCAUAUUCAAUAUAUGACACACUUGAUUCAAAACAAGUGAGGCCAUCCAAAGGUCGUGAGUUCGAGUCUCACUGAGGACA